CCUACGAGAGGCAGCAGUGGGGGAUAUUGCACAAUGGGGGGAACCCUGAUGCAGCGACGCCGCGUGGGUGAAGGAGUAUUUCGGUAUGUAAAGCCCUAUCGGCAGGGAAGAAUUUAGACGGUACCUGACUAAGAAGACCCGGCUAACUACGUGCCAGAAGCCGCGGUAAUACGUAGGGGGCAAGCGUUAUCCGGAUUCAAGGGGUUUAAAGGGAGCGUAUACGGCCAGGCAAGCCUGGAGUGAAAGCCCGGGGCCCAACCCCGGGACUGCUCUGGGAAAUGUCCGGCAGGAGUGCGGGAGGGGCAGGCGGAAUGCCUGGUGUAGCGGUGAAAUGCGUAGAUAUCAGGAGGAACACCGGCGGCGAAGGCGGCCUGCUGGACCGCGACUGACGUUGAGGCUCGAAAGCGUGGGGAGCGAACAGGAUUAGAUACCCUUGUAGUC
rnacentral:rRNA from 1 species